rnacentral:rRNA from 1 species
CACGUAGGCACCAAGCGUUAUCCGGAUUUAUUGGGCGUAAAGAGCUCGUAGGCGGUUCGGUAAGUCGGGUGUGAAAACUCUGGGCUCAACCCAGAGAGGCCACCCGAUACUGCUGUGACUAGAGUGCGGUAGGGGAGCGGGGAAUUCCUGGUGUAGCGGUGAAAUGCGUAGAGAUCAGGAAGAACACCGGUGGCGAAAGCGCUCUGCUGGACCUUAACUGACACUGAGGGACGAAAGCUAGGGGAGCAAACAGG